GCGGAAGUGGCUGUCAAAUUCCAGCUUUUUGGCUUGUGUAUGUGGCAGUAUUGUGGCCGUGAGUCUCCUCAGGUACUGUGGUAAUUCGGAUGAUCCCACUGCAUCAGGGAUACCCCGGAUCUUAAUAUGUGUGCGCCUGCUGCGAUCUUCCAUGGCGUCUAGCGUGUUUUGGAGCGCUGAGUUCGCUGUCUGUAAAUGUUUC